rnacentral:rRNA from 1 species
AGGGAAUAUUGGACAAUGGGGGCAACCCUGAUCCAGCCAUGCCGCGUGAGUGAAGAAGGCCCUCGGGUUGUAAAGCUCUUUUGUCCGGAAAGAGAAGCAUUCGGUGAAUACCCGGAUGUUCUGACGGUACCGGAAGAAUAAGCACCGGCUAACUUCGUGCCAGCAGCCGCGGUAAUACGAAGGGUGCAAGCGUUACUCGGAAUUACUGGGCGUAAAGCGUGCGUAGGUGGUUGUUUAAGUCUGAUGUGAAAGCCCUGGGCUCAACCUGGGAAUGGCAUUGGAAACUGGGCAGCUAGAGUGCGGUAGAGGGUAGUGGAAUUCCCGGUGUAGCAGUGAAAUGCGUAGAGAUCGGGAGGAACAUCUGUGGCGAAGGCGACUGCCCGGACCAGCACUGACACUGAGGCACGAAAGCGUGGGGAGCAAACA